rnacentral:rRNA from 1 species
GAUGAACGCUGACAGAAUGCUUAACACAUGCAAGUCUUUGGCGAAGCUGUGCUCGCACAGCCUAGCCAAGGCGGACGGGUGAGUAACGCGUAAGGAACUUGCCCUGCAGUCAGGGAUAACAGACGGAAACGACUGAUAAGACCUGGUAAAGUCAGGCGGACUCAUGUCCAGCCUGAUGAAAAGAGAUGCUGCAGGAGAGCCUUGCGUCCUAUUAGCUUGUUGGUGGGGUGACGGCCCACCAAGGCGAUGAUAGGUAGCCGGCCUGAGAGGGUGGACGGCCACAAGGGGACUGAGAUACGGCCCUUACUCCUACGGGAGGCAGCAGUGGGGAAUAUUGGAUAAUGGGGGCAACCCUGAUCCAGCAAUUCUGUGUGCACGAUGAAGGUUUUCGGAUUGUAAAGUGCUUUCAGCAGGGAAGAAAAAAAUGACGGUACCUGCAGAAGAAGCGACGGCUAAAUACGU